rnacentral:rRNA from 1 species
AUACAGAGGGUGCGAGCGUUAAUCGGAAUUACUGGGCGUAAAGCGCGCGUAGGCGGCUUAUUAAGUCAGAUGUGAAAUCCCCGGGCUCAACCUGGAAACUGCAUCUGAUACUGGUAAGCUAGAGUUUUGGAGAGGGAAGUAGAAUUUCAGGUGUAGCGGUGAAAUGCAUAGAGAUCUGAAGGAAUACCAGUGGCGAAGGCGACUUCCUGGCCAAAAACUGACGCUGAGGUGUGAAAGCGUGGGUAGCAAACGGGAUUAGAAACCCUAGUAGUCC